rnacentral:rRNA from 1 species
UUCCAGACUCCUACGGGAGGCAGCAGUGAGGAAUAUUGGUCAAUGGGCGAGAGCCUGAACCAGCCAAGUCGCGUGAGGGAAUAAGGCCCUACGGGUCGUAAACCUCUUUUGCCGGGGAGCAAGGGCGGGGACGUGUCCCGGCCCGGAGAGUACCCGGAGAAAAAGCAUCGGCUAACUCCGUGCCAGCAGCCGCGGUAAUACGGAGGAUGCGAGCGUUAUCCGGAUUUAUUGGGUUUAAAGGGAGCGUAGGCCGGCUUUUAAGUCAGCUGUGAAAGUCCGCGGCUCAACCGUGGAAUUGCAGUUGAAACUGGAGGCCUUGAGUGCACACAGGGAUGCCGGAAUUCGUGGUGUAGCGGUGAAAUGCUUAGAUAUCAUGAAGAACUCCGAUCGCGAAGGCAAGUGUCCGGGGUGCAACUGACGCUGAGGCUCGAAAGUGCGGGUAUCAAACAGGAUUAGAUACCCCUGUAC